AACGAACGCUGGCGGCGUGCUUAACACAUGCAAGUCGUACGAGAAACAUUAUCUUCGGGUAAUGGAGUAAAGUGGCGCACGGGUGAGUAACACGUGGGUAACCAACCAAAGGGACUGGGAUAACAGGCCGAAAGGCCUGCUAAUACCGGAUAAGGCCACGGGAGCUUAGGCUCCAGGGGUUAAAGUCGGCCUCUCGACGAAGCCGGUGCCUUUUGAAGGGCACGCGGACCAUUAGGUGGUUGGUAGGGUAACGGCCAACCAAGGCUGGGAUGGUUAGCUGGUCUGAGAGGAUGAUCAGCCACGCUGGAACUGAGAUACGGUCCAGACUCCUACGGGAGGCAGCAGUGAGGAAUAUUGCGCAAUGGAGGCAACUCUGACGCAGCAACGCCGCGUGGGUGAAGAAGGCCUUCGGGUUGUAAAGCCCUGUCAGGUGGGAAGAAACCCUCGUGGGUGAAUAGUCCGCGAGAUUGACGGUACCACCGGAGGAAGCACCGGCUAACUCCGUGCCAGCAGCCGCCGUAAUAC
rnacentral:rRNA from 1 species